AUCGGGAGGCUAGGGGUCUCCUGUCCACAAACCCUCUUCAGUGGGAUCUCAAGGCCAGGGACGGAAACUGCGUCAGGCGGUCCCAGUCUGAUUCCGUAGAAGCUCUGUCCCAUAGGAAGAUGCUGUGCAUGAACCGGGCCAGGCCGGAAGGAGCAACCCUAUUUGUAUAGUGUUUUGUCUGUGGGGUAGCGGAGUGGAGGAUAGGGUUGGAUCAGCUUCCUGGUGCAAGUGCCAACCUUGGUCAG
rnacentral:misc_RNA from 1 species